AUUACCUAGCAACCACUACAGGUGUUGCAAACAGUGUUGUACUAGAAGUCAGUCAAUCUCUACAGGUGUUGUAGAAGAAGCCAGUUAACCACUACAGGUGUUGCAAACAGUGUUGUAGAAGAAGCCAGUUAACCACUACAGGUGUUGCAAACAGUGUUGUACUAAAAGUCAGUCAAUCUCUACAAGUGUUGUAAACAGUGUUGUACUAGAAGUCAGUCAAUCUCUACAUGUGUUG